rnacentral:rRNA from 1 species
UUUAAUUCGACGCAACGCGAAGAACCUUACCAGGUCUUGACAUUGAUGGACAGAACUAGAGAUAGUUCCUCUUCUUCGGAAGCCAGAAAACAGGUGGUGCACGGUUGUCGUCAGCUCGUGUCGUGAGAUGUCGGGUUAAGUCCCGCAACGAGCGCAACCCCUAUCUUAUGUUGCCAGCACUUUGGGUGGGGACUCAUGAGAGACUGCCGCAGACAAUGCGGAGGAAGGCGGGGAUGACGUCAAAUCAUCAUGCCCCUUGUGACCUGGGCUACACACGUACUACAAUGGGAGUUAAUAGACGGAAGCGAGAUCGCGAGAUGGAGCGAACCCGAGAAACACUCUCUCAGUUCGGAUCGUAGGCUGCAACUCGCCUACGUGAAGUCGGAAUCGCUAGUAAUCGCAGGUCAGCAUACUG